AUACGGAGGAUCCGAGCGUUAUCCGGAUUUAUUGGGUUUAAAGGGUGCGCAGGCGGCCAUUUAAGUCAGCGGUUAAAUCGUGGGGCUCAACCCCAUUCUGCCGUUGAUACUGGGUGGCUUGAUUGCGGUCGAGGUUGGCGGAAUUCGUUGUGUAGCGGUGAAAUGCAUAGAUAUGACGAAGAACACCGAUUGCGUAGGCAGCUGACCAGAUCGCAAAUGACGCUCAUGCACGAAAGUGCGGGGAUCGAACAGGAUUAGAUACCCUGGUAGUCCGCACAGUAAACGAUGAAUACUUGUUUUCGGCGAUAUAAUGUCGGAGGCAAAGCGAAAGCGAUAAGUAUUCCCCCUGGGGAGUACGCCGGCAACGGUGAAACUCAAAUGAAUUGGCGGGG
rnacentral:rRNA from 1 species